AUAUUUAGAAUUAGUAUAUAAUGUAUUGUGUACUUGUAAGUGUAUCUUUAAGUACUGAUGACGAGGUCGCUGUGCGACUGAUACAGGAUAACCUAGAUGGGCCCUGGUGGCCCUUUAUCCUAUUAUUUGUUAUGUUAUAGGUGUUACAGACGCUGCCCUGUUCAUGACAACGACUGCGAGUAUGUUGUGAUAGGGAAGUGGAGUGGAAAGGACGGGAAUGGUGGAUAUGUGGAAUAAGUGGAGUAUAAAUGGACUAAGAGGUUGACGAGUGACGUGGGGGAGUGGUGUACAAGUUGUGUGGGGAUGAGAAUAGGUGGGGAGGACUAAAGGGAGCGUGAAUGGAUCGUGGCUCCAGGAGGCAGGCUGGGAACUGAAUCAAUGUGAUAAAAUGGAGGAGAGAGACUUGAGAGGGUGUGGUGCGAGUGUUUGUGACGGUUAGGACAGCAUGGAUAAGAGUGGAGAAGACGUGUAAGGAGUGGUGGUGGUGGUGGAACUGUGUGGAGACGAGUGAAAGGCUGUGGGCAGUGGAGGAGUUUUAAGACAAUGUGACGUGUUAGACGAAAUAAUUAGUGAACAAGAUAAUGCUGUUUUGUUCCAUAUUUGUCCAUUACAGGCGUUGACGAUCCAAAGGCCUGACUCCACAGCGGUAAUGCGUCCCCUCUACUAUCAAGGAGAGACUCUACCUUGCACUACACCUUCACUGACAACGCCCACGAUCAAAACCUCUGCCUCACCACUACCGCAACAUCAGAGGACUGUCUUGCAUCGCGCCCAGACACUACGUAGAUUUCACUAACCAGGAAUUGGCGAUCCAAGGCCUGAGUGUAGCGAUCAAGGGACUCCACCACCACUGCCGCCGUCCAGCGAGAUUCGGCUCCACAUCUCGCACCUUCCGCCGCCGUCCCAACACCACCACCACCACCAUCAAGGAUUAUGCACGGCACCUUGACCCUGCGCGGCCAUCACCUACUGUGGGUGUCGGUGGCCAGGGUGGGGGAGGAGUUGCGGGCAGCGUGACAGUCAGUCUUCCCUCAUUCACUGUGGUACUGUGGGUGGUGUGGUGUGGUGCCAUUACUCCAUUGUAAUAAACUGUCUUCACUGCCUCAUUGUGGUGUUCUCACUGUACUAAGAGCUGUUGUCAAUAAAUAAUAAAUUGUGUAGAAAU